GUGCAGUGAUGAUGUCCAUAUGGUUUCGCUUCUGGCUGAGUCUCAGAGAUGACACUUUUCUCUUGGCUGUCUGAGCAU
rnacentral:snoRNA from 10 species